rnacentral:rRNA from 1 species
UCUAACAUGUGCGCGAGUCAGUGGGUGAUACGAAACCUAGAGGCACAGUGAAAGCAAAGGCCGGCCCUCGCGGCUCGGCCCGGGUAGGAUCCUUCGCCGCACGCGGCGGAGGCGCACUACCGGCCCGUUUUAGCCGCAACGUCGGCGAGGCGGAGCGAGAGCGUACACGUUGGGACCCGAAAGAUGGUGAACUAUGCCCGAGUAGGACGAAGCCAGAGGAAACUCUGGUGGAGGUCCGCAGCGAUUCUGACGUGCAAAUCGAUCGUCAAACUUGGGUAUAGGGGCGAAAGACUAAUCG